rnacentral:rRNA from 1 species
GUGCACCAGUCGCGAAACUUUACAAUGUGCGAAAGCACGAUAAGGGAACUCUGAGUGCCUCCUAAGGAGGCUGUUCUGAUGUCUAAAAGCAACAGAAGUAAGGGCUGGGUAAGACCGGUGCCAGCCGCCGCGGUAACACCGGCAGCCCAAGUGGUAGCCACGUUUAUUGGGUCUAAAGCGUUCGUAGCCGGCCAGGUAAGUUCCUUGGUAAAUUUAGCCGCUUAACGGUUAAGCUUUCAGGGAAUACUGCUUGGCUUGGGACUGGGAGAGGUCAGAGGUACUCCGGGGGUAGGGGUGAAAUCUAUUAAUCCCUGGGGGACCACCGGUAGCGAAGGCGUCUGACCAGACCAGGUCCGACGGUGAGGGACGAAGGCUAGGGGCGCGAACCGGAUUAGAUACCCCCGUAGU